rnacentral:rRNA from 1 species
AGCUGCAGUCGAGAUCUUUCGCAUGGGCGCAAGCCUGACGAAGCGACGCCGUGUGAGUGAAGAAGGCCUUCGGGUUGUAAAGCUCUUUCGCUAGGGAACAAGAAAGGCGGGAUAACACCCCGCUGAUUUGAUGGUACUUGGUAAAGAAGCACCGGCUAACUCCA